CUUCCAUCUUGGAGCCAUCUGGGCACAGCCACGACUGUGGCUCUGGUCCUGCCAGGGUGUAGCCUUUGAAGAUGCUUCAAUGAAUUUCUAUUUUACUCCCCCUUAACUCCAUCUAGCUUCUGCUGCAGCUCCUUAAGGCAUCAAGGGAACAGACUGGAACCUGUCUGUGUGUCCUGCAGUAGGAGCCUGUGCCUGUGUCCCAGCAGUGUGUGGGCAGGGGUACAGUUUUCAGACAGUCACUGCCUGGGUGAGUGGAGAAAAUGCUGAAGCACUGAGAGAAAACCACUCCUGAAGAGCAGCAGAACUUGCCCAGAAGGAUGUUUCAUAGUGCAGCAAUUAACUGAUACACCAGGCUAUCAGGUGCCAAGGGGCUCUUUCCAUGGAAGAGGACAUCUGAAUCCAAGACAUUUAUUUUGCAUCUGAGGAGGUGCAGUGAGAGCCAGAGGGAACAGGGAGCAGCAUCCCCUGAGCAGGAGCAUGAGCUGGUACCACACUCUGAUCUCAUGUCUGUAGCCCCAAGCUCCUCCAAGGAUGCUCCUAAGUGGGGCUGGACUGAAAAAUCCCCAGUGCUUGGACCAGCUCAGGACAGAGCAGCCCCACCUGAGCCCAUAAAGUAGAUUUGGGACUGCCCUGAGCAGCUGCUGCUGCUGAAUGCCUGCUGGGGAGCACGGAGAAGCAACAGAGGGUGAGAGCUGCUGGUGCUCAGAAGGCACAGAUUCCAUCUUAUCUGGUCACUCUUCUCCUGGCCAGUAAAUCUGUGAGAAAGUGGCAAUGAAAUGUUAAUUACCUCCAAAAUUAUCUGCCUCCAGUUAUUGCUAGAAAUGGCAUUGAAAACAACAAAAUGUUGAACCUCAUGCAGCCACUUCACCAAGACUUCAAGACUUUUGACACUGGUGCAAAGGCUUCCACAGCAGAUCUGCACUGCAUGGAGAAGCUUUUCCUUCUGAUGCCUGCUUGCCUAAUUCCAUGAACAGAGACCAAGAGUUUGCCAGCCUGAGUAUAUUCCAAGGUGAUGAAUACCAUGGGACAACGUGAAACUCACAGACUGGUUUGAUUUCACUAUGAACACGGGUUGGCUUCGUUAUGCUACCAGCGCUGUUUGGUAUGGCCAAAGAAGUGUCAGUAUUAAAAAUAAUUACAAGUGUAAAAGAAACUCCAUAACCUAAAUUAGUGGAUCCACUGUGUUAUCUACAGAAAGAAGAACUGGGUGUGUUAUGCACUGUGCUCAAGGCUAGGUAAAUUCCUUAGCUUUAGAUAUUUUGGCAUCAAUUACCUGUAAUUAUUUUUGUCCUUUCAUUGAGAUUUACGUUGGUCUGAAUCAUCACUAAAAACCUAAUUAAAUCAGCUAUUUCCUUUUCUUUUAGUCCUGUUCCAUGAUGAGUUUAUUCUCAUUUUGUUCAUAUUUGGACAUUAAUCUUCUCAAUGUUUGUGAAAAUCUCUGGAGAAGAGGGAUUCACGUGAAACACAAGGAGGAGAAUGAAGGCACCUCAGUGAUCUCUGAGAGAUUUUAUGCACUCAGGUGACAAGAUUUUCCAAAGUAUUUACAGUAUUUACAAAACUGAUGGCUAUUGUCAGUCCAGAGUUAUCUGUCACGGUUGUAAAGGGAAUUUUGACUUCACAACAAAAGAGUCUCUUCUUUUCUGUGAUUUUUCCCCCCCAUGUCUGUAUGUAUACAUAUAAAAACACAUUUUAAAUUCAUUCCUGUGCUUCACUUUCACAAAGAAGACUCGCUGUCUGUCAGUUCCUGUUGUAGCUGUCUCCAAAGCUCCAGAGUUUUUAUUUGCUUCCUCUGCCAAUGAAUAUGUAGAAACUCCAUCAAAACCCAAGGAGUCACACCUGUGUAAAACUGGUUCCAACAUUGCACCUAUUGUGUUUAGAAGUCAAAUGUACACAUUUGCAGAAUCCCAAGGAAGUGAAACAUUUGCUUUAAAUGGAUGCAAGAGAGGUCAUGGCAAUGUCUGUGAGAUCCUAAGCCUGAGUUUUUUGCUGCUCUUUUUAACUCUUCUGAAACAAUCCAUGAAAAUCAGGAUGCAACAAGGACUCUUUUAGCCCCAAGCAGGGAAAAAGACUUUGUAAAACAAGAACCAAGAGUGAUGUUUGGAAUCCACAACUUAGUCUUAUUAAAAAGAACAGGAGGGGCACAGGUGGGCAGAAAAUGGUGGUGCCUUCAGGUGGGAGUGUGGGAAUUGUCUCCUAAAUUAAAGUUUUCCUCACAAUCGUGAAAUGCUUUAGUAAUUUUUAAGGCACUAUCCUCAAACUUAUUAAUUUACACUUACAUUGAGGCGCCCCUUGCACCAGAAUUGGGUGGUGUCUGCAAAUUACAGCACCUUACAGUUCUGCUGCCUUCAUGUGCCUCAUUCCCACAUAAAUGCCGUGUGCCCUCCCACCCCUGUGCCAUGCAUAUGUAAAAUCUGCUUUAAUUCCAAUCAACCCCUCAGCAAAUGCCAUUUUAGUCCUGAAUUGUGCCCAAAGGAUUGAGGGGAUGUGCUCUGCAGUGCUGUGCAGGCACACAGAGACAAACCCUGCAGUGCUGCUGCAGCAUCACCAGGCAUCUGGAAUCCAACAGGAACAUGAAAUAUAUAUAUAUAUAUAUAUGUUUUUCAUUCACACGGUGGAGAAAAAAUGGGUUAUUUAACAGAAAAAAUCCAACCCCACAAAGCAGUUUUGUGGAAGAAAGCAGGUGGUCUCCAAUUUAAAAGCACUUGCAAUUUUGGUUGCUGUCUUACAUAUGUAGGUGGGGGAGCAUAAAACACUGGCUGGAUUUUUCUGAUCAUUUCCCUUGCUAACAUCCAAGCAAAACCAAAGUGAAUUUUAGCAUCUCACGCUGCAUCUUUUAAAAGCUCUUCACAGAUGUAUUCCUUAACAGUACAAAAACACUUUUCUUAAUUCUCUUAAUUGCUUGGAAUUGUUGUCUGUGGAAGUAAUUGGUGAGUAAAUUGUUUUAGCUGGAAAUCAAUGUCAUGCAGCCAAACCAACAGAUUGUAGGGGCGAAUAACAAAAUUCAAUUCAAACAAGCAGGAAUAAGAGGUUUUAUGCUACUUAUGUAUUUUUGAUCAAAAUAAACUACCUGAUGGUGCACAGGAAGGGAGUGUGGGGUAACAGGAUGGAAGGAAAAUAUCUGUUCUAGCCAUCCAUCUACUCUAAAGUCUGAACUUUU
ensembl:lncRNA